GUGCUUGCCUCAGCAGCACAUAUAAUAAAAUUGGAAUGAUACAGAGAUUAGCAUGGCCCCUUAAAAAAAAAGAAGAAUCCUCUUCAUAGCUUCAUUAAAAAUUAUU
ensembl:snRNA U6 U6 spliceosomal RNA